CCCUUGCAAGCUGUCUGAAACAUGUUUUACAACGUGGUAGCAGUAGCCCCUGCUAACUGUCUUGUCAUUAUUAAACUGAGUAUUACGAAAAAAUGGCAGCUGCCCUUGCUAACUGCUGAAACAAGCCUUAAGUGUAUAGCACAAAGCGAGUUGCACAACCAGAUAAUAAUUUGGCAAACCUAAGAAAAACAUGGCAGAAAGGUAUUGUCAGCCC